rnacentral:tRNA from 1 species
GGGCCGUUAGCUCAGUUUGGUAGAGCAGCUGACUCUUAAUCAGCGGGCCGCAGGUUCAAGUCCUGCACGGCCCA